GCGGAAAUAGCUCAGUUGGCAGAGCGUCGGCUUCCCAAGCCGAAGGUCGCGGGUUCGAAGCCCGUUUUCCGCUCCA
rnacentral:tRNA from 1 species